UUAUACUCUUUGUAGGCGCGAAUCGCCGUCAGUGUCUUUUAUUAUUAUUUUAAUAAUUCAUUGUGUAUAUAGGCGCGAAUCGCCACAAAUAUUAUAUUGUUAGCAUCGGCUCUAAUAGCCGUUUGCAUAUUUUAUUAUUUUGUUGACAUAUACCGCAACGCUAAUCGUCGGGUUAUUUCAAACAGUAUUAUAUUAUAACAUUGUCACGAGUGCGAUCGUAAUUUAAAUCAUAUUUUGAAUUAUCAUAUUAUAACUUUACUGUACUUAGUUAUUGCUAUUUAAAUUAUUGUCUGGCUUGAAUAGCCAGUGAAUUUAUAUUAUUAUUGUUGUGUAUCUAUUAUAAAACUAUUAUACAGGCAAAGGUAGCAGCUGGCCAGCCGUGCACCGACAAAUUUCAAGAAAAAAAGAAAAAAAAGAAAACGUGAGAAUCAAAAUGCAUAUCGUCAGCGUCAAAAAGUUUUGAAGAAAAAUGAAAAAAAAUAUCCAAAAUCAAAUGUCGAUCGUCAAAGAGAAUUCCGUCAACGUAAUGUAAAAGAAAUUGCCCAAAAAAAAUUGGAUGAUUUACAAAUAAAAGGACAGAAAUUGGACAGUCAUAAAGACCAAGAGAAUGUCGUGCAAUACAGUGCUAUCGAAAAUGUAGAAAAUGUACACAAGAAUCUACUACAAAAUAUGGGACCACCAUCGACGCCGUAUUUUCCAGAUAUUUGGAGAAUAUUAAAUCUCAAACUUAUGUUUCAUAUUUUAGUUAUCAUAGGCCUAUAGUUUCUAUGAUACA